GGGCGUAGCAAUACGUCAGCGGCAGACGGGUGAGUAACGCGUGGGAACGUACCUUUUGGUUCGGAACAACACAGGGAAACUUGUGCUAAUACCGGAUAAGCCCUUACGGGGAAAGAUUUAUCGCCGAAAGAUCGGCCCGCGUCUGAUUAGCUAGUUGGUGAGGUAAUGGCUCACCAAGGCGACGAUCAGUAGCUGGUCUGAGAGGAUGAUCAGCCACAUUGGGACUGAGACACGGCCCAAACUCCUACGGGAGGCAGCAGUGGGGAAUAUUGGACAAUGGGGGCAACCCUGAUCCAGCCAUGCCGCGUGAGUGAUGAAGGCCCUAGGGUUGUAAAGCUCUUUUGUGCGGGAAGAUAAUGACGGUACCGCAAGAAUAAGCCCCGGCUAACUUCGUGCCAGCAGCCGCGGUAAUACGAAGGGGGCUAGCGUUGCUCGGAAUCACUGGGCGUAAAGGGUGCGUAGGCGGGUCUUUAAGUCAGGGGUGAAAUCCUGGAGCUCAACUCCAGAACUGCCUUUGAUACUGAGGAUCUUGAGUUCGGGAGAGGUGAGUGGAACUGCGAGUGUAGAGGUGAAAUUCGUAGAUAUUCGCAAGAACACCAGUGGCGAAGGCGGCUCACUGGCCCGAUACUGACGCUGAGCA
rnacentral:rRNA from 1 species